rnacentral:rRNA from 1 species
CUACGGGGGGCUGCAGUGGGGAAUAUUGGACAAUGGGGGAAACCCUGAUCCAGCAAUGCCGCGUGUGUGAAGAAGGCCUGCGGGUUGUAAAGCACUUUCGGUUGGGAGGACUGCUUCUAGCACUAAUAUUGUUGGAAGUUGACGUUACCUUCGGAAGAAGCACCGGCUAACUCCGUGCCAGCAGCCGCGGUAAUACGGGGGGUGCAAGCGUUAAUCGGAAUUACUGGGCGUAAAGCGCGCGUAGGCGGCUAGAUCAGUCGGGUGUGAAAGCCCCGGGCUUAACCUGGGAACUGCAUCCGAUACUGUCUAGCUUGAGGACAGGAGAGGAGAGUGGAAUUCCACAUGUAGCGGUGAAAUGCGUAGAUAUGUGGAGGAACACCAAUGGCGAAGGCAGCUCUCUGGCCUGAUACUGACGCUGAGGUGCGAAAGCGUGGGGAGCAAACAGGAUUAGAUACCCGUGUAGUC